ACCUACGGGGCGCAGCAGUAGGGAAUUUUCGUCAAUGGGCGCAAGCCUGAACGAGCAAUGCCGCGUGAACGAAGAAGGUCUUCGGAUCGUAAAGUUCUGUUGAAGGGGAAAAAGAGCGGAGAGAGGAAAUGCUUUCUGAUUGAUAUUACCCUUCGAGGAAGUCACGGCUAACUACGUGCCAGCAGCCGCGGUAAUACGUAGGUGGCGAGCGUUAUCCGGAAUGAUUGGGCGUAAAGGGUGCGUAGGCGGCCUGCUAAGUCUGGAGUGAAAGGUACCGGCUCAACCGGUACAGGCUCUGGAAACUG
rnacentral:rRNA from 1 species